rnacentral:rRNA from 1 species
GACGAACGCUGGCGGCGUGCUUAACACAUGCAAGUCGAACGGGUCUGCCCUGUUUUUUGCGGGGUGGGUCAGUGGCGAACGGGUGAGUAACACGUGAGUAACCUGCCCCUCACUUCUGGAUAACCGCUUGAAAGGGUGGCUAAUACGGGGUGUUCUGGCUGUGCCGCAUGGUGUGGCUGGGAAAGAUUCACUUUUGUGGUGUUUUGGUGGGGGAUGGGCUCGCGGCCUAUCAGCUUGUUGGUGGGGUGAUGGCCUGCCAAGGCUUUGACGGGUAGCCGGCCUGAGAGGGUGGGCGGUCACACUGGGACUGAGAUACGGCCCAGACUCCUGCGGGAGGCAGCAGUGGGGGGUAUUGCACAAUGGGCGGAAGCCUGAUGCAGCGACGUCGCGUGAGGGAUGGAGGCCUUCGGGUUGUGAACCUUUUUCGCCGGUGAAGAAGGUCCUGCUCUUUGUGGUGGGGUUGACGGUAGCCGGGUUAUGAAGCGCCGGCUAACUACGUG